rnacentral:rRNA from 1 species
AGUGAACGCUGGCGGUAGGCCUAACACAUGCAAGUCGAACGGCAGCACAGUAAGAGCUUGCUCUUACGGGUGGCGAGUGGCGGACGGGUGAGGAAUACAUCGGAAUCUACUUUUUCGUGGGGGAUAACGUAGGGAAACUUACGCUAAUACCGCAUACGAACUACGGGUGAAAGCAGGGGGUCUUCGGAUCUUGCGCGAUUGAAUGAGCCGAUGUCGGAUUAGCUAGUUGGCGGGGUAAAGGCCCACCAAGGCGACGAUCCGUAGCUGGUCUGAGAGGAUGAUCAGCCACACUGGAACUGAGACACGGUCCAGACUCCUACGGGAGGCAGCAGUGGGGAAUAUUGGACAAUGGGCGCAAGCCUGAUCCAGCCAUACCGCGUGGGUGAAGAAGGCCUUCGGGUUGUAAAGCCCUUUUGUUGGGAAAGAAAAGCAGCAGGUUAAUACCCCGCUGUUCUGACGGUACCCAAAGAAUAAGCACCGGCUAACUUCGUG